UACGAAGGGUGCAACCGUUGCUCGGAAUUAUUGGGCGUAAAGCGCACGUAGGCGGCUAUCUAAGUCGGAUGUGAAAUCCCUCGGCUUAACCAAGGAAGUGCACCCGAAACUGGAUAGCUUGAGUACAGAAGAGGAUCGCGGAAUUCCCGGUGUAGAGGUGAAAUUCGUAGAUAUUGGGAAGAACACCGGUGGCGAAGGCGGCUAUCUGGACCGACAUUGACGCUGAGGCGCGAAAGCGUGGGGAGCAAACAGG
rnacentral:rRNA from 1 species